rnacentral:rRNA from 1 species
ACCCGCACAAGCGGUGGAUGAUGUGGUUUAAUUCGAUGCAACGCGAAAACCUUACCUACCCUUGACAUGUCAAGAAUUUUGCAGAGAUGUGAAAGUGCUCGAAAGAGAACUUGAACACAGGUGCUGCAUGGCCGUCGUCAGCUCGUGUCGUGAGAUGUUGGGUUAAGUCCCGCAACGAGCGCAACCCUUGUCAUUAGUUGCUACCGCAAGGAGCACUCUAAUGAGACUGCCGGUGACAAACCGGAGGAAGGUGGGAUGACGUCAAGUCCUCAUGGCCCUUAUGACCAGGGCUACACACGUGCUACAAUGGCCGGUACAAAGAGUUGCGAUACCGCGAGGUGGAGCUAAUCUCAUAAAGCCGGUCUCAGUUCGGAUUGGAGUCUGCAACUCGACUCCAUGAAGUUGGAAUCGCUAGUAAUCGCGGAUCAGCAUGCCGCGGUGAAUACGUUCCCGGGCCUU